AGUCAUUAAGUUAACCACAUUUGUUUUGAAAACAUUAUAGGAGCCACCAGCUCAAUGAUUU
rnacentral:tRNA from 1 species